rnacentral:tRNA from 1 species
GGAGAGAUGACCGAGAGGCCGAAGGUGCUCGCCUGCUAAGCGAGUGUGGGUGUUAAAAGCCCACCGAGGGUUCGAAUCCCUCUCUCUCCGCCG